rnacentral:lncRNA from 1 species
AGUUCCGCCUCGUGCUGGGAGCGGCAGCGAGUGGUUCUCUGUGGUGGGUGUUGUCCUCCGGUUCCCUGCGGCGUAAACUCGCGAGCCUUUCUGCCCAGCCCUGAUGAGAUUUAGUACCGGGAACGGGCUGGGAGUGAUGGCGGGUGCCUUGUGUCCCACAGGGAGGCAGAUGGCGGCGGCGGAUCUGAGUCUGAGCCCGCAUAGCGAGUUCCAGGCCAGCCAAGGCUACAGAGCGAGACCUUGAAGUCAAGAGAAGGGAAGUUUUUUGUUGUUUAGAAAAUAAAUAUAGCCAAUAAAGAUAGAGUGAUAGAAGUGGAACGGUGACCAUUUGAGGUGCUUAGGCAUCACCCAUGGUAGGUAAAAGCCAUGUGAUGUAAGAAAAUAGAGAAAGGUAGGAUGUUUAGAGUCAAAGCUGGCAAUCGCUCACCCAGCGAUCAACUUCAGCAUCACUAGUUGUGAGACAACCUUACUUUAUGCAUGUUUAUGACCGAGUGACAGUCAACAUGAAGUGACUGUCACCUCUGAGGAAGUAUAAUCAAAGCCCUUUUGAGUUUAAAGGAAAUAAUAAGCAUAACGUGUUGAAUGUCCGUGAGGAAAGAAACACCCAUCCAGAAUGUGCGAUUUUUUUUUGACUUAAAUAAUUCAAGAGUAAUGUAAUUUUAAUGAGAAAUACCUCCCUUCGUCUUGGCCAUUUGGAGUAGUUUAGAGGUGUUCCCUGCCUUGUGCAGAUUGGAGAGGUUAAAGACACACACACCACUUAAAUUUGAGCUCUCGGCGCUGUAUGUGCAGUUUGAUGCCGGCUCACAACAAAAUACUUCAGCCAUCAUGUCCUUGGCCUGCUGCUGCCCCUGCCCGGCCAUUAUAGACUCACUCCGGAGCCAUAAGCUAAAAUAAAAUCGUUAAGCUGCCUUGGUCAUGGUGUUUUAUCACAGCAACAAAGAAGGAAGCAAUGCUAUUAAAAGGAGUAAGGACUGUUUUGGAUUAGAAGAUUAAAAAGAUGGGUAUGG